UACGUAGGGGGCAAGCGUUGUCCGGAUUUAUUGGGCGUAAAGAGCGUGUAGGCGGCCAGACAGGUCCGUUGUGAAAACUCGAGGCUCAACCUCGAGACGCCGAUGGAAACCGUCUGGCUAGAGUCCGGAAGAGGAGAGUGGAAUUCCUGGUGUAGCGGUGAAAUGCGCAGAUAUCAGGAAGAACACCCGUGGCUAAGGCGGCUCUCUAGUACGGUACUGACGAUGAGACGCGAAAGCGUGGGGAGCGAACAGG
rnacentral:rRNA from 1 species